rnacentral:rRNA from 1 species
CCUACGGGCGGCAGCAGUGAGGAAUAUUGGUCAAUGGGCGCAAGCCUGAACCAGCCAAGUAGCGUGAAGGAUGACUGCCCUACGGGUUGUAAACUUCUUUUAUAAGGGAAUAAAGCGAGUCACGUGUGCCGCUUUGCAUGUACCUUAUGAAUAAGGAUCGGCUAAUUCCGUGCCAGCAGCCGCGGUAAUACGGAGGAUCCGAGCGUUAUCCGGAUUUAUUGGGUUUAAAGGGAGCGUAGGCGGGAUGUCAAGUCUGCUGUGAAAGGUUGGGGCUCAACCGGGGCAUUGCAGCGGGUACUGGCGUGCUUGAGUACGGUGAAAGUAGGCGGAAUUCGUGGUGUAGCGGUGAAAUGCUUAGAUAUGACGAAGAACCCCGAUUGCGAAGGCAGCUUGCUGCAGCGGAACUGACGUUGAUGCUCGAAAGUGCGGGUAUCGAACAGGAUUAGAUACCCGUGUAGUC